rnacentral:rRNA from 1 species
AUUGAACGCUGGCGGCAUGCCUUACACAUGCAAGUCGAACGGUAACAGGUCUUCGGACGCUGACGAGUGGCGAACGGGUGAGUAAUACAUCGGAACGUGCCCAGUCGUGGGGGAUAACUACUCGAAAGAGUAGCUAAUACCGCAUACGAUCUGAGGAUGAAAGCGGGGGACCUUCGGGCCUCGCGCGAGUGGAGCGGCCGAUGGCAGAUUAGGUAGUUGGUGGGAUAAAAGCUUACCAAGCCGACGAUCUGUAGCUGGUCUGAGAGGACGACCAGCCAAACUGGGACUGAGACACGGCCCAGACUCCUACGGGAGGCAGCAGUGGGGAAUUUUGGACAAUGGGCGAAAGCCUGAUCCAGCAAUGCCGCGUGCAGGAUGAAGGCCUUCGGGUUGUAAACUGCUUUUGUACGGAACGAAAAAGCUUCUCCUAAUACGAGAGGCCCAUGACGGUACCGUAAGAAUAAGCACCGGCUAACUACGUGCCAGCCGCCGCAGUAAGAC